GAUGAACGCUGGCGGCGUGCUUAACACAUGCAAGUCGAACGAAGUGUUUAUUCAAAGUUUUUCGGGAUAGAGCAUACAUUUCUUAGUGGCGGACGGGUGAGUAACGUGUGGGUAACCUGCCUCACACAGGGGGAUAACAGUUGUAAACGACUGCUACUACCGCAUAAGACCACAGCACCGCGUGGUGCAGGGGUAAAAGAUUUAUCGGUGUGAGAUGGACCUGCGUCUGAUUAGAUAGGUGGUGGGGUAGAAGCCUACCAAGUCAACGAUCAGUAGCCGACCUGAGAAGGUGAUCGGCCAGAAUGGGACUGAGACACGGCCCAAACUCCGACGGGAGGGAGCAGUGGGGAAUAUAGGACAAUAGGGGAAACCCUGAUCCAGCAACGCGGGGGAAGAGAAGAAGUAGUUCGGUAUGUAAAGCUAUAACAGAAGGGAAGAAAAUGACGGUACCUGACGAAAAAGCCCCGGCUAACUACGUG
rnacentral:rRNA from 1 species